CGUUCGGUGAAAAUACAAUACCGGUGAAGAUGCCGGUUACCUGCAGCUAGACGAAAAGACCCCGGAAGCUUUACUGCAACUUGGUAUUGCCUGUAUGUUCUUGAUGCGUAGCGUAGAUGGUAGGAUUUGAAGCGUUGAUUUCGGUUGACGUGGAUCCGUCGAUGAAACACCAUUCUUUAAGAAUAUACAUGCUAACCUUGCCGGCAAAAACGGCAAGAGACAGUACCUGGCGGGCAGUUUUAGUGGGGCGCUACCCUCCUAAAGAGUAACGGAGGGGUCCAUCAAGGUUCUCUAGGCGCGAAUGGAAACCGUGCCGAUAGUGCAAUGGCAUAAGAGAGCCUAACUGUAAGACGUAAGUGUCGAGCAGACGCGAAAGCGGGGCAUAGUGAACCGACCACCACGCCCGAACGUACCGUUCGGUACGGGCGGGUACGCAUUAGAUGCGGUGGAAGAUUAUCUGCUAAAAGCUACUCCGGGGAUAACAGGCUAGUUCCGCCUAAGAGUCCAUAUCGACGGCGGAGUUCGGCACCUUAACUCUUGAAUUAAACCUCAAGAAACAUCGGGGUGCCUAGAGGAGCAAUCCUCUACAAAAACAAAUUGGCUAU
rnacentral:ncRNA from 1 species